UACGAAGGGGGCUAGCGUUGCUCGGAAUCACUGGGCGUAAAGCGCACGUAGGCGGACUCUUAAGUCGGUGGUGAAAUCCUGGAGCUCAACUCCAGAACUGCCUUCGAUACUGAGAGUCUCGAGUCCGAGAGAGGUGAGUGGAACUGCGAGUGUAGAGGUGAAAUUCGUAGAUAUUAGGAAGAACACCAGUGGCGAAGGCGGCUCACUGGUCCGGUACUGACGCUGAGGUGUGAAAGCGUGGGGAGCAAACAGG
rnacentral:rRNA from 1 species